AUGCAGUUUACUUUGUUGAUGGAGAAUUCAUUCCUCAAUGAUGUACUAUCUCGAAGUUGGCUAUGGUCGAACUAACCGAAAAAAAGAGACAAAUAAAUUCGAUUUAUGUCAAUGUUAAAAUAAAGCAACAGCAAGAGCAAAAUUAUUUUCGAACAUACGAUAGGGAGACAUUACUGUCUUAAUUUACACAGAAAAUCAAAGCCCAUUAUCAAAUGUACCUAAAGACCUUUUAGAACACUGUUUCUUAACCGCAUGAGCUCAUAUUAAUUGGAACCUGGUUCCUCAUGCCUGUAGAAAGCUGUUGGAUGGGUGGAUUUUCUUGCUUGUACCAGGUUUAGGUUUACUGUUGUCACUUAUUUUUUGCACUAUGAUGCCUGCAGCCUUGUUUUUUUGUAUAAUUUGCAGCUCCUCCUUUCUCUUCAGUUUCUCCUUCUGGUUUUUCUGCUGCACAUAAACAUGCGCAUAACUUGCUCCAGUAGAAAACAUUACUGGAGGAAUUAAUAUUCACUGUCUGAAAUUGUUAAAGUGAUUAU
rnacentral:lncRNA from 1 species